GCUGGUCAAGGUGGCUCAUGCCUGUAAUCCCAGCCACUUGGGAGGCUGAGGCAGGAGGAUUGUGAGUUCAGAGCCAGCCUCAG
rnacentral:sRNA from 1 species